UUUCUUCUACUUUUAAAAAUUGUGGAGAUUAAAUGUAAGAAAAUAAGAAAUGAAAAUCGGUGGAUCUAGAUUGAACAAUAGUAAUAUGAGACGUGUUGAAAACUCAAGAGGAUAGAUAGUGCCAUAUAGCCAGGAUGAACUCAUAAGAAUAAUUUUGUAUAGUAUUUUUAUUUAUUUUAAGAAAAUAAUAAAACUCAAUAUUAU
rnacentral:lncRNA from 1 species